AGGCAGCAGUGGGGAAUUUUGGACAAUGGGCGCAAGCCUGAUCCAGCAAUGCCGCGUGCAGGAUGAAGGCCUUCGGGUUGUAAACUGCUUUUGUACGGAACGAAACGGUCUACCCUAAUACGGUGGGCUAAUGACGGUACCGUAAGAAUAAGCACCGGCUAACUACGUGCCAGCAGCCGCGGUAAUACGUAGGGUGCGAGCGUUAAUCGGAAUUACUGGGCGUAAAGCGUGCGCAGGCGGUUAUAUAAGACAGAUGUGAAAUCCCCGGGCUCAACCUGGGACCUGCAUUUGUGACUGUAUAGCUAGAGUACGGUAGAGGGGGAUGGAAUUCCGCGUGUAGCAGUGAAAUGCGUAGAUAUGCGGAGGAACACCGAUGGCGAAGGCAAUCCCCUGGACCUGUACUGACGCUCAUGCACGAAAGCGUGGGGAGCAAACAGGAUUAGAUACCCUGGUAG
rnacentral:rRNA from 1 species